rnacentral:rRNA from 1 species
UUGAACGCUGGCGGCAUGCCUUACACAUGCAAGUCGAACGGCAGCACGGGGGGCAACUCCUGGUGGCGAGUGGCGAACGGGUGAGUAAUAUAUCGGAACGUGUCCUGUAGCGGGGGAUAACCUAUCGAAAGAUGGACUAAUACCGCAUACGCUCUACGGAGGAAAGCGGGGGUCGCAAGACCUCGCACUAUAGGAGCGGCCGAUAUCGGAUUAGCUAGUUGGCGGGGUAAAAGCCCACCAAGGCGACGAUCCGUAGCUGGUCUGAGAGGAUGAUCAGCCACACUGGAACUGAGACACGGUCCAGACUCCUACGGGAGGCAGCAGUGGGGAAUUUUGGACAAUGGGCGCAAGCCUGAUCCAGCCAUGCCGCGUGAGUGAAGAAGGCCUUCGGGUUGUAAAGCUCUUUCGGCAGGAACGAAAUGGUUCGUGCCAAUACCACGGACUGAUGACGGUACCUGAAGAAGAAGCACCGGCUACUACGU